rnacentral:rRNA from 1 species
CUACGGGCCGCUGCAGUGAGGAAUUUUGCGCAAUGGGGGAAACCCUGACGCAGCAACGCCGCGUGAGUGAAGAAGGCCCUUGGGUCGUAAAGCUCUGUCAAUGGGGAAGAAGUUACUUGGUAUUAAUAGUGCCUUGUAUUGACGGUACCCAUGAAGGAAGCACCGGCUAACUCCGUGCCAGCAGCCGCGGUAAUACGGGGGGUGCAAGCGUUAUUCGGAAUUAUUGGGCGGAAAGGGCACGCAGGCGGUCCUGUCAGUCAGAUGUGAAAGCCCGGGGCUCAACCCCGGACGUGCAUUUGAAACAGCAGGACUUGAGUACGGGAGAGGAAAGGGGAAUUCCUGGUGUAGAGGUGAAAUUCGUAGAUAUCAGGAGGAACACCGGUGGCGAAGGCGCCUUUCUGGACCGAUACUGACGCUGAGGUGCGAAGGCGUGGGUAGCGAACGGGAUUAGAUACCCCGGUAGUC